CAGCCGCCGCGGGAAAACGAAGGGGGCUAGCGUUGCUCGGAAUGACUGGGCGUAAAGGGCGCGUAGGCGGCGAUCAAAGUCAGGCGUGAAAUUCCUGGGCUCAACCUGGGGGCUGCGUUUGAUACUUGGUUGCUAGAGUGAGGAAGAGGGUCGUGGAAUUCCCAGUGUAGAGGUGAAAUUCGUAGAUAUUCGGAAGAACACCAGUGGCGAAGGCGGCUCACUGGCUCAUUCUAGACGCUGAGGUGCGAAAGCGUGGGGAGCAAACAGGAUUAGAUACCCCCGUAGUCCCUGUCUCUUAUAC
rnacentral:rRNA from 1 species